UCCGAGUUGACCCCGGCAGUCUCCUAUGAGUCCCCGCCAUAACGUGCUGGCAACAUGGAACAAGGGUUGCGCUCGUUGCGGGACUUAACCCAACAUCUCACGACACGAGCUGACGACAGCCAUGCAGCACCUCUGUACAGACCUCCGAAGAGGGGCUCUCAUCUCUGAGACUUUCCUGUACAGUUCAAACCCAGGUAAGGUUCUUCGCGUCGCGUCGAAUUAAGCCACAUGCUCCGCCGCUUGUGCGGGCCCCCGUCAAUUCCUUUGAGUUUCAGCCUUGCGGCCGUACUCCCCAGGCGGGGCACUUACUGCGUUAGCGACGGCACCGGGAGGGUCGCUCCCCCCGACGCCUAGUGCCCAUCGUUUACGGCGUGGACUAC
rnacentral:misc_RNA from 1 species